UCCGGUUUAACACCGGCAGUCUCCGUAGAGUGCCCAACUGAAUGGUGGCAACUAGGGAUAGGGGUUGCGCUCGUUAAGGGACUUAACCCGACAUCUCACGAUACGAGCUGACGACAGCCAUGCAGCACCUGUCUCCCGGCCCCCGAAGGGGAAACCACAUUUCUGUGGCUGUCCGGGGAUGUCAAACCCAGGUAAGGUUCUUCGCGUUGCAUCGAAUUAAACCACAUGCUCCACCGCUUGUGCGGGCCCCCGUCAAUUCCUUUGAGUUUUAACCUUGCGGCCGUACUUCCCAGGCGGGGUACUUAAUGCGUUAGCUACGACACUGCAGGGGUCAAUUCCUGCAACAUCUAGUACCCAUCGUUUACGGCGUGGACUAC
rnacentral:misc_RNA from 1 species